AUUGGCUUAGUGGUAGAGCACUUGCCUAGUGUGCACAAGGCUUUGGGUUCGAUUCCCAGCAAUA
rnacentral:tRNA from 1 species